UAAUAAGUGUUUUAUGGCACUUUUUAAAUCCAUAUCCACCUUGUGUGCAAUGUCAGUCGAUCUUCUUCAUGGAGAUCGACCAAACAUCAACCUUUAUCUUUUAACUCUUUGUCUGAAAAAUAUUAUGAAUAAACAAUUCAAAAUA
rnacentral:misc_RNA from 2 species